rnacentral:rRNA from 1 species
AUUGAACGCUGGCGGCAGGCCUAACACAUGCAAGUCGUACGGUAGCACAGGGGAGCUUGCUCCUCGGGUGACGAGUGGCGGACGGGUGAGUAAUGUCUGGGGAUCUGCCCGAUAGAGGGGGAUAACCACUGGAAACGGUUGCUAAUACCGCAUAAUGUCGCAAGACCAAAGAGGGGGACCUUCGGGUCUCUCACUAUCGGAUGACCCCAGAUGGGAUUAGCUAGUAGGCGGGGUAACGGCCCACCUAGGCGACGAUCCCUAGCUGGUCUGAGAGGAUGACCAGCCACACUGGAACUGAGACACGGUCCAGACUCCUACGGGAGGCAGCAGUGGGGAAUAUUGCACAAUGGGCGCAAGCCUGAUGCAGCCAUGCCGCGUGUAUGAAGAAGGCCUUCGGGUUGUAAAGUACUUUCAGCGGGGAGGAAGGCGAUGUGGUUAAUAACCGCGUCGAUUGACGUUACCCGCAGAAGAAGCACCGGCUAACUCCGUGCCAGCCGCCGCCGUAA